CCGCUCUCUUCUCCCCCUUCAGAAAGUGAUGGCCACGGAUUGCGACAGAGAGAGAGGUAUGCUGUGUCUUCUGGGUCCCUUCACUAUUCUGCGAGAGAGAGAACGAGGGAGUGAAGGCUGAUCCGAGAGAGAGGAAGAACAGGGAACGGGAAGAGGAAGAAGAUUUUGAUACACCAAGUUGAGAUUUGGAGCAAAAGUUAUAAGGAAAGGGAAGCUGAAAACUUUAGUUUAUGCAUUUCCUCAUUUCACACAUACUGAAGCACACGUUCAUUCCUAAGCAGAAGAACAUCAUCUUCUUCAAAUUUGCCGGUAUGACAAAUCAAAAUGAUGGUUGGGCCGACAGCAAAGGGAUCUUCAUUUUAAGAGGCUUCCAACAAAGCUUUUGCUGAUGCAUAUGCGGUGACAGCAGUUAGCCAAGAAGUUGUUCAUCUGGAAAGUUCCAAUUAAAAGAAGCAGAGUUCAAAGCUCCGUCUAUCUAAGCUUCUAUAUAUAUAAAUGAAAGAGAGGGGAGGAUUUACGAUCGUUCAUCAGGCUGUUGGCACUAACAGAACCAAGCCAAAUCUUAAAGGUGAAAAACCCAUAAGCAUUGAUAUAGAGAACAUCUGAGAAAUAUAUGAGCUGAAGACACAAAUGCAAAAUCUAAAAGUUCCUCACAAGAUGGCCAGACAAAGAGGGACUCAGAUUACUCUUCAAGUGAGAAUUGGUGCCAUGAUGAGCCAUUAUCUGUAUCUGCCAUCCUAUUACCAAUUAAUCAUUUUGAAUUGGUAAGCCUAUAGAAGACAGAAAUGUGCCUGCGUUUAUCCAGUUGAUGAUUUUGUACUGAAUUAUUAUAGGAUUACCUGGACAGGAGAUUGUUGAUUGCUAUAUAUAAGCAGGGUUUAAUUUUAUGUGUUGGAUAUUUAUCUACAAUUUACAUAAUAUAUGCAGUUCGUACUCUGUUCUGUAAAUUACUCCCUCCUGGAAAUUUCAUUUGGGUGUUGACUAAUUCACUAUAGAAACAAAGAGUAGCCUUUUUACAGUUAUUAAAUUUCAAUAACAAGAUUCAACCAUUUAUCCUGUAGUGACUGAUCAAGCAUUUAUAAUUUAUAUCAAAUAUAAUAGCAACAUGAUCAAACUAUCAUGCUAGCAAUUUGUCCUAACUAAAUCCCACAUGUCUCAAUAAUAGAGCUCCUGCAACUUCUAGGUGUCUGUUCCUUUAAUUACACUGUUUUACUCACAAAAUUUGUAUCAGCAUUCCUAUUUACUUUUAAUAGAUUAGUCUCCAGCAUAAUGGUGUGAGCAUGUACAACUUUUAAAGAAAUGAUCUUUGGUAUCUCUGUUAUGCUCAACAAGUCACCACUAAAAUCUUUGCCAGCCUAAAGCACUCUCUGAUACAAUUUAUACAUGCCAGAGGAAAAUCCUGCUGAAAAUAAUAUGGGUUGCAGUUUAUAAAUAUUGAGGCAGCCAAACCAUUUUGAUUAAGAAUGAUCAUGUGGUAUUUGGUGCCUGCCACACUAUCUUCACUACUUAUUAUGCCUUAGUCAGAGGCAUAGUUUCAUCUCAAUUGAUGGACUUUGGUAUGGUGUUAAGAACAUCGAGUAAUGGAGCCGAGUCGGAAGAAAUUAUAGACCAACUUCAAUGGCAUAGGUUCUCUCAAGAAGAAUGUGCCAACAUUGAUACAGUUAUUGGCAUUGAUAAGAAAAAAAAACUAAAAACCAAGUCAAGCCAUGUGGUCUAAAUAAUGAAACUACUGGAGAGCGGAUAAAGGUCCAAAUAAAGCGGUACCUGAAGAUGGGAUUCUGGAAGAGUGUCAGCCGAUUGUUUAGCUAUUUCGCAUUUCUUCUGUACGCUUGAUUUGCAUAGCUUGGAUUCACUUUCAGCUUUAAUAUACUGUGCUCUUGAACCUCUCUAUGUUUGAUCUCUUUGGUGUAGAAAAAGAUGGUCAAAACAAUGCCCAUUUUAGGUUUUAGGUCUGCAGCAUGUUUUGGAAUUUGGAGACUUCAAAUCACUGUUAGAUUAAUGCUCAAGGCUUUUUUUUUUUUGGGGAUGAGUUUAUCUCUAUGGGUGGUUCUAUUCAGACCUCCACAUUUACUAUAUAGACCUCUUUUAAUUUUUGAACAAUUUUAUUUCCUACUGUACCCUUCUAGAA